rnacentral:rRNA from 1 species
UACGUAGGGUGCAAGCGUUGUCCGGAAUUAUUGGGCGUAAAGAGCUCGUAGGCGGUCCGUCACGUCGGGAGUGAAAACUUGGGGCUUAACCCCAAGCCUGCUUCCGAUACGGGCAGACUAGAGUGCGGUAGGGGAGAUCGGAAUUCCUGGUGUAGCGGUGAAAUGCGCAGAUAUCAGGAGGAACACCGGUGGCGAAGGCGGAUCUCUGGGCCGUAACUGACGCUGAGGAGCGAAAGCAUGGGGAGCGAACAGG